rnacentral:lncRNA from 1 species
CUCCUGGCCCUGCCACCUCCUGGCUAGGCAGCCUCAGGCGAGUCACUCAACAGCCUCAGCAAGCUGUUAAAGGGAUCUGAAAAACAAGCCUUAAAGAUGACAGCCACCUGCCAGCGUUCUUGGGAAGAGCAAAUGAGGAGCCGCGGGGUCUGCCUCACCCACGGCCUCUCCUCCCGGCUGGACCCCACCGUCCGUGCCUGUUACCCGUGGGGAGUCUCAACAGGAAGGCAGAAGCCUGCUGUAAAGAAUUCGGGGACUCCAUGUCGGGUCAGCAGCUGCGAAGAGUCCCGGGCCACAGGAAGCCUCUGGGACCCCAGCCUCCACCCGCCCUUUCCUGAGCCCUAAGAGAAACAGAGCCCUGGAUAAUGUGCCCAAUUACAAACAGCAUUUCCCGGCUUCCCUUGUGGCUGACUACGCCACAGGACUGCGUUCUCACCAACGUACGUGGAAGGGUGGCAGGGCACUUCCAAGGAGUCUUCUUAAAGAGACCUGACUCAACGGGAGAUGAUGAUGACGAUGGUGGUGAUGAUGAUGAUGAUGCAGCCAGAAGACGGCCGUCUAUGGACCAGGAAGUGGUCCUCCCCAGACACCGAAUCUGCCAGCAUCUUGAUCUUGGACUUCCAGCCUCCAGAACCGUGAGAAAUAAACGUCAAGUCACUCAGUCUGUGGUAUUUCAUAUGGAGCCUGAACGAACUAAGACGCAUUGUAUAUAUAUACUACAUGUAUAUAAAAUAACCCAUACAAAUAUGUAACUACUGAAUCAUAUGGAAUUUUUAGUCUAUUCAGCUUUUUUUGUGUAUUAGUUUAUGAAGGCUUGUUCAUGUCCUUAAAUAUUCUUUGGAAACUUGAUUUUAAUGGCUAUAUAAUAUUCGUACAUGUGAAUAUACCAGACCUUGUUUCG